UACAGGCUUAACACAUGCAAGUCGAGGGGAAACGACAUCGAAAGCUUGCUUUUGAUGGGCGUCGACCGGCGCACAGGUGAGUAACGCGUAUCCAACCUGCCCAUCACUUGGGGAUAACCUUGCGAAAGUAAGACUAAUACCCAAUGAUAUCUCUAGAAGACAUCUGAAAGAGAUUAAAGAUUUAUCGGUGAUGGAUGGGGAUGCGUCUGAUUAGCUUGUUGGCGGGGUAACGGCUCACCAAGGCGACGAUCAGUAGGGGUUCUGAGAGGAAGGUCCCCCACAUUGGAACUGAGACACGGUCCAAACUCCUACGGGAGGCAGCAGUGAGGAAUAUUGGUCAAUGGACGAGAGUCUGAACCAGCCAAGUAGCGUGCAGGAUGACGGCCCUAUGGGUUGUAAACUGCUUUUAUAAGGGAAUAAAGUGAGUCUCGUGAGACUUUUUGCAUGUACCUUAUGAAUAAGGACCGGCUAAUUCCGUGCCAGCAGCCGCGGUAAUACGGAAGGUCCGGGCGUUAUCCGGAUUUAUUGGGUUUAAAGGGAGCGUAGGCCGGAGAUUAAGCGUGUUGUGAAAUGUAGACGCUCAACGUCUGCACUGCAGCGCGAACUGUUUUCCUUGAGUACGCACAAAGUGGGCGGAAUUCGUGGUGUAGCGGUGAAAUGCUUAGAUAUCACGAAGAACUCCGAUUGCGAAGGCAGCUCACUGGAGCGCAACUGACGCUGAAGCUCGAAAGUGCGGGUAUCGAACAGGAUUAGAUACCCUGGUAGUCCGCACGGUAAACGAUGGAUGCCCGCUGUUGGUCUGAAUAGGUCAGCGGCCAAGCGAAAGCAUUAAGCAUCCCACCUGGGGAGUACGCCGGCAACGGUGAAACUCAAAUGAAU
rnacentral:rRNA from 1 species